rnacentral:rRNA from 1 species
UCGAGAAUCUUCGGCAAUGGACGAAAGUCUGACCGAGCGACGCCGCGUGUGCGAUGAAGGCCUUCGGGUUGUAAAGCACUGUCAAGUAGAAGGAAAUGCUAUGGGGUACUCCCCAUAGUUUGACCGAUUGCAAAAGGAAGGACGGGCUAAGUUCGUGCCAGCAGCCGCGGUAAUACGAACCGUCCAAACGUUAUUCGGAAUCACUGGGCUUAAAGGGUGCGUAGGUGGUCGUAUAAGUUGGAUGUGAAAUCCCUCAGCUCAACUGAGGAACUGCGUCUAAUACUGUAUGGCUUGAGGGAGAUAGAGGUAAGCGGAACAGAUGGUGGAGCGGUGAAAUGCGUUGAUAUUAUCUGGAACACCAGUUGCGAAAGCGGCUUACUGGGUCUUUUCUGACACUGAAGCACGAAAGCCAGGGGAGCGAACG